CACUGACUUGACUGUAAGUUGCUCUGGACAAGAGCGUCUGCUAAAUGACCAAAA
rfam:Salmo salar isolate Sally breed double haploid chromosome ssa21, whole genome shotgun sequence.